rnacentral:rRNA from 1 species
CGAACGGUAACAGGUCUUCGGAUGCUGACGAGUGGCGAACGGGUGAGUAAUACAUCGGAACGUGCCUAGUAGUGGGGGAUAACUACUCGAAAGAGUAGCUAAUACCGCAUGAGAUCUACGGAUGAAAGCAGGGGACCUUCGGGCCUUGUGCUACUAGAGCGGCUGAUGGCAGAUUAGGUAGUUGGUGGGGUAAAGGCUUACCAAGCCUGCGAUCUGUAGCUGGUCUGAGAGGACGACCAGCCACACUGGGACUGAGACACGGCCCAGACUCCUACGGGAGGCAGCAGUGGGGAAUUUUGGACAAUGGGCGAAAGCCUGAUCCAGCAAUGCCGCGUGCAGGAUGAAGGCCCUCGGGUUGUAAACUGCUUUUGUACGGAACGAAAAGCCUGGGGCUAAUAUCCCCGGGUCAUGACGGUACCGUAAGAAUAAGCACCGGCUAACUACGUGCCAGCAGCCGCGGUAAUACGUAGGGUGCAAGCGUUAACCGGAAUUACUGGGCGUAAAGCGUGCGCAGGCGGUUUUGUAAGACAGUGGUGAAAUCCCCGGGCUCAACCUGGGAACUGCCAUUGUGACUGCAAGGCUAGAGUGCGGCAGAGGGGGAUGGAAUUCCGCGUGUAGCAGUGAAAUGCGUAGAUAUGCGGAGGAACACCGAUGGCGAAGCAAUCCCCUGGGCCUGCACUGACGCUCAUGCACGAAANGCGUGNGGANGCAAACAGGAUUAGAUACCCUGGUAGUCCACGCCCUAAACGAUGUCAACUGGUUGUUGGGUCUUAACUGACUCAGUAACGAAGCUAACGCGUGAAGUUGACCGCCUGGGGAGUACGGCCGCAAGGUUGAAACUCAAAAGGAAUUGACGGGGACCCGCACAAGCGGUGGAUGAUGUGGUUUAAUUCGAUGCAACGCGAAAAACCUUACCCACCUUUGACAUGGCAGGAACUUACCAGAGAUGGUUUGGUGCUCGAAAGAGAACCUGCACACAGGUGCUGCAUGGCUGUCGUCAGCUCGUGUCGUGAGAUGUUGGGUUAAGUCCCGCAACGAGCGCAACCCUUGCCAUUAGUUGCUACAUUCAGUUGAGCACUCUAAUGGGACUGCCGGUGACGAACCGGAGGAAGGUGGGGAUGACGUCAAGUCCUCAUGGCCCUUAUAGGUGGGGCUACACACGUCAUACAAUGGCUGGUACAAAGGGUUGCCAACCCGCGAGGGGGAGCUAAUCCCAUAAAGCCAGUCGUAGUCCGGAUCGCAGUCUGCAACUCGACUGCGUGGAGUCGGAAUCGCUAGUAAUCGUGGAUCAGAAUGUCACGGUGAAUACGUUCCCGGGUCUUGUACACACCGCCCGUCACACCAUGGGAGCGGGUCUCGCCAGAAGUAGGUAGCCUAACCGCAAGGAGGGCGCUUACCACGGCGGGGUUCGUGACUGGGGUGAAGUC